CCUACGGGGCGCAGCAGUCGAGAAUUAUUCACAAUGGGGGAAACCCUGAUGGUGCGACGCCGCGUGGGGGAAUGAAGGUCUUCGGAUUGUAAACCCCUGUCAUGUGGGAGCAAAUUAAAAAGAUAGUACCCCAAGAGGAAGAGACGGCUAACUCUGUGCCAGCAGCCGCGGUAAUACAGAGGUCUCAAGCGUUGUUCGGAAUCACUGGGCGUAAAGCGUGCGUAGGCUGUUUCGUAGGUCGUGUGUGAAAGGCGCGGGCUCAACCCGCGGACGGCACAUGAUACUGCGAGACUAGAGUAAUGGAGGGGGAACCGGAAUUCUCGGUGUAGCAGUGAAAUGCGUAGAUAUCGAGAGGAACACUCGUGGCGAAGGCGGGUUCCUGGACAUUAACUGACGCUGAGGCACGAAGGCCAGGGGAGCGAAAGGGAUUAGAUACCCUAGUAGUC
rnacentral:rRNA from 1 species